GGAUACAUGGCUGGAGGAUACGCCCAGGACAGGCUUUGGCCCUAGGCGGACAUGGGCGGCGCCCAAGGGGCCAUGUUUUGCAGGGCCCAUCAUUAUAUAUGUAUACGUGCUUCUAUAUGUGUUGGAUUGUACCUCGGCCUUCUAUACGUCCUUGAGCCUAGUUGCGUCGCUUUGGGGUACGUACGCCUUGGCCUCCUGCCUAUUUCCUUGGCGCACGCAUACCUGGGCGUAACUUAUAUUCCCUCCGUCCCGAAAUAAGUGUCGUUGAUCUAGUAUAAAAUUUGUACUAACCUAGUACAAAUUUUGCGACACUUAUUUUGGGACGAAGGGAGUACCUGUUUGGCUGUUUCUUUCGACGCCUCGCCGCCUCGGCCUCCUGGCUUCGCCCCUUCUCCCGUUCGCCGCCCUUUGCGGCUUCUGUUUGGCAGUGGAGAUCAGCCAUGGUCUGCAGCUACAGUGGAGAUCGGCAGCUGUAGUGGAGAUCGGAAACUGCUUUAUUCAUGAAGAUUGCAGAGGAGCUAUUUGGAGAUCAGCAGAUUUUUUGUGAAGCACUGAAGUAUUGUUGUUCAUGAACUCAUAUGAACUUCGUUCUUAUUUGAGGUAAUUAAACUAGCAGCGAAUAUUAUUUUUAAAAUUUUGUUACUCUUUUAUUUAUUGUCAUCGUUAAAUUACAAUGUAUGGUCGAAUGUAAACUUUAAUAUUUUGCGUUUAUAUAUCUAUAAAUGCGUAUAUAUAUUAUCUAUAGGGGUCCAUUUUUUAACUUUGUCCAAGGGCCCCGAAUAAUAUAGAGCCGGCCAUGGAUAUGCCUCUAGCCAUACAAUAUCCAUCUCUUUAUAAUAUUGUUCAACGUAAGGAGGCAUACGUUGUCACAAUAUUACAGUCUAAUCCUUUAAAUAUUCAGUUUCGAAGAUCUUUAAUAGGUAAUAGAUGGGAGGCAUGGUUGCAUUUAGACAUUUCUAUUGUUUGGGACGUGGCUAAAUGGGGUAGACAUUUCUAUUGUCAGACAUAUUCGUAUAGGAGUAUGUGCAUUAAUUUGGGCUAUAUGGAAUUGCAUGAAUGAUGUGACUUUUGACAGAUUAUCAAAUGUCAAUUUCUUGCAGGUACUUCACACGGCAUUGGCGCUGAUCCGUAUAUGGUCGUUACUCACACCUGCGGAAACCAGGGAGCAUUUGGUUACUGGGUCUAUCCGAUGGGAGAUGGUAGCACUGGGUAUCUACAACCGGUUUGGAUGGUGGUCCAGUAAUAGGAUAGAUGGUUAGGUGUCUAUGUCUAUUUUUUAGUCGGUUGUGGCAUUUUUAUUAUCCCUUUGUGUAUUUCUUUAUUAUUUUUGGAGCUUGUUCGAAACUUCUCGAUGCUUUUUAAUUACUUAAAUGAAAUGACUGAAUGCAUCGUUUUGAUGCAGCGGUCGGAGGAAACCUUUUUUCUAUAUAAAAAAAACAGUUCUACCCAACCGCAUCCCACGGCCCUGUAGAUGGAACAAGCAAACAAAGCCCGUGGCGUCAAGAACGAGGGCGUACAGGCGCCCGCCGGACGCGUGUCGAGCCCCGACUGGCCGCCGGGUCGCCGCCACCGGGGCCCGCCGCCGGCGGUCCCCGGUCCGCCUCGCAUGGUCCGCCCUCCGCCCCUCGUCGCUGUCCGGAGAGAGGGAGGGAGAAAAAGAUGAACAUCACGUCUCGCAGUCGCAUCCAUCCAUCCACGCUUGACCUUCCGCUGCUGCUGCUACUUUGAACCCUCUCCACAAUCGGCCACAAGUGGAUAAUGGGCGAGGGAUCCGCGCCAACUUGUUCCGGAAAAGAAACAGCGACGGCGAGCCACGAUCGCGCACGCGCGCCAUCCGUCCCCGUUUUUCCUCACCUUUCUCCGCACGAAACCGCCGUCGCCGUCGCCGUCGACAAAUCAUGCGUGCUCUUAUCGCCGGUCAGAUGAUUUUUUUAUCGCCCCGGCCGUGCCGUGCCGUGCCGUGGAAUGGAAUGGAAUGGAAUUAGCCCCGUUUUCUUGUGCGGCGAUCGAAUUAGCUGGCCACCUGUAGAAAUUUUGUUUGCGAGUAGUUCCGGUCAGUCAGUGUGAAGAUCGGGCCAGGGAGAAGGAGCGAUUACUAGUAGCCAAAUUUCCAGCCCUGGUUUAAUAUGUGUGCAACAGCGACGUGCGUGGUCCACGGCGCUCCACGGAGGCCGGCGUCAGCACGAUGCGGCUUUGCUUUCGUUGAUUUGAUUAGAAUUAUGGGCCGGCUCAACAUCAUCUUCCUUGCUAAUACUACAGAUAGGAGUAGGAACUUUCUUUCGCGCAUACAUAAAUAGGUGUUGUUGACAAGUACCAACACCCCACAUGGUAUGAUUUGAUUUCCCCUCCCAUAAACUAGGAGCAUCGCUCACCUGGUUUGUGACCGAACGAUGUCAUUGGACAGGACGCGUACACUCAACUUCAAUUCAAGAUAUACAAUGACAAUAUACACACCUUUGAGGCCAUUUUCCGCACCCAUCCCCCUCUCUCUAACCAAUACCCGAAAUCCACCCGCCUCCGUAGACGCGCCUCCACAAGGCUAUCCAUCCGCUUUCACUGCAUCUCCUGUCGUCGACGAGUUGCAUGGCAGGCCAGAGUCGACGCUGCGCUCGCCCCCAUAAGGUUGCACGUAGUUGCUUUACCCUUCCUCCUCCUCCCUCCUAAUUGUCACGGAUUCAUCGAAGAUGCGUCGGGAUAUGGAGCACGUGGUGCGACAGAGAUUCCCUAACGAGUCGGAGUAGUCGGAGCUCGUCGACGUCAUUCGUCUCUCCAUUGGCGGAGCCACGCUAGUAGUAGCUGGAAAUACCCAUAUCAAUAGCGCUGGUGGCAGUGCUACUGAUAAGGCGCUACAACUAAGUUUUAACAGUAGCGCUCUUCAACCAGCGCAACUGGUAAGUAUAGUUAGCAAUAGCGCUGCACGGAACAGCGCUGCUACUAACUAUCUGUAGUGUUGCCCAUAACAAGCGUUGCUGAUAAUCCAGCGCUCCUGCCAGCACUAGUAGAAAACACACCUUUCGUCCGUACCUUUAGUCCCGGUUUGAUUUCGGCCCGGGACUAAUAUGACCAUUAGUCCCGGUUCCAACGGCUAGGAGCGGUCGGUGGCACGGGCACCUUUAGUCCCGGUUCAUCUUGUACCUAUAGUCUCGGUUUGUGAGACAAACCGAGACUAAAGGUGUGGUGGGCUGGUGGCACGCGAGCGUCAGGCUGGGCCCCCCAUGAGCCCAUUUAGUCCCGGUUUGUAUAACUAACCGGUUUGUAUCACAAACCGGGACUAGAUGGAUCCAUUUAGUCCCGUUUGGUUAUACAAACCGGGACUAGAGGGAUUCAUUUAGUCCCGUUUGGUUAUACAAACCGGGACUAAAGAUCUUUCUAUAUAAGCCCUUCGUCCAGACCGAGCCCAUUUAUCUGUUUUCUCAAUUCCUCUCUAUGUUCUUCCCCUUAGCUCGAGCUCAUCCUCCAUUUUUUUGCCAAGAUUUGUCAAGAUUUGGGACACCCCAUCUCUCCAAGUGUUCACAAUGGUUAGCAACUUUGUCCUUUCAUCUCUCAUUGGUAUAUUAGCUCAUGCAAUGCUCUAUAAGUAUAGUGAUUUGUGGGUUUUGGUUUGGGGAGUAAUUUUAUAGGAGUUUAUCUGAUUUAUGUGCAAUCUGAGCUAAAAUUAACUUCUUAGUGCCUUCCUGUCCCCGUCCUAACCACCAUUGAUCGUUCGUACCGUCCCAUCGCCGGCACCACCUUGGAGAUGGGUUCAUCGUGUGGGAUAAUUGCGCUCGCAUACCCACCUCCGGGAGCGUUGCUGCGUGGGGUUCGCCCUCCACGCCAUCACUAAGCUCGCCUCGUCCAAAUAGGUGGACAACACAGGCCCCUACCUCAGUUUCAUCUACUCAUCAGGCGGGACCAAGGAUUCACUGCUUCAACGUUGAACCGCCCCUAGCCUAGGGACCGAGGUGAGCUCCCAAUCCGUCUAUCCUGAUUGCGUAGAGAUCGAAUAGAUGCAUUUCGUAAUUGCGAUUUCCUCACUUCACCAAUCGACCGCUAUCCAACAUGCAUCUAUGUUAUUAAGUUCAUAACAAACAAAGUAAUUCUUGGAGCAUGAUGACAUAAUGUAGACAAAAUAAGAUCAAUUAAUAUGUUCAAACCCCGUCAUUUUAUCCUUAGUAGCAACAAUACAAAUAUGUGUCUCGCUACUAAUGGUGUCACAGAGUGAGGGCACCGCAAUAUUGGACCUACUACUAUGCAUCACUUCCUAUGAAGAUAUACUCAUCAACUUGCCAAAGAAAACUCAUAGAUCGGAAGGCAUAUAUAGCUACAUGAAAUCACACAUAAUAAAUCUAUGAAUAGACCCAAUUACUUUCAAUGAAUAAUCCAAUCAUAAACUCACAAUUCAUCGGAUCCCAACAAACACACCGCAAAGAUUACAUCGAAUAGGUCUUCAAAGAGAUAAUUGUAUUGUAGAGAGAGAGGGGGGGAGGGAGAAAGGGAGGGAGUAAGAGAGAGAGGGACAGGGCAGAGGAGGGAGGCAGAGGGAGAGAGAGGGGGGAAAGGGAGGGAGAGAGAGAGAGAUGUUGGAAAUUUUCCCUAGAGGCUCUAUGAUAAACCAAUUGAAGAUAUUGUGCUUUGAUGCUCAAGUUGUGUUGCUACUCUGAUGUUUAAGGGAGGGAGAGGGGGGGACAGAGAGAGUUUUUGUCCAACGUGGUACUUUGCAAAGCAAGUACCACCUAGGCUCCUCCAUUUGAGCUGCAAUUUUGUCAAGACAGUCUCCUUAGUAGAUGAUCAUCAUCAACCAAAACUUAGGCCCAUUGGCCAUGUGCAUUUCCCCCAUCACUAAUAAAACAACUGGCUGCUAAUUCAUGUUUGAGCUUAGUUCAAUCUCCUCGUGAGAUUCUUCUGUUGUCAUUUUCUUCCUAACAUCUAUCGGUGGAGUGCCUAACCCACCAUACAUGCCUAGGACGCCCAGAAUGCGUGGCAAUACCACACUCACGCGAUUGGCAUGCUAAUUUACGCGCUCUAGAGUUGGGGCCCUCGGCCACUGUCUACGCGUUUGUGGGAGUUCUUGAGAGAAACUCUACCAGGUUUACUCGCUCUCGCUCUUUUGACCAAAGAAAAUCAUGAUUCGAGCAAGUCUUGAGCAUUUCCCCAUGAACUUAUUACUCUUAGAGGUUGAAAUCUUUUAGGCUGUAGGAGUUCUUCGAAGAGGAAACAUUCGGUGUGAUUAUCCGUGAAAAUUUUGUGAAGGUUUGAAGAUCACUUCAAGGCCUAUCACUAAUGGUUGAGAAUCGCCUCAUGGUGACAUGUCAAGGGAAGAAUAGGGUGAGACUUCGUGACGUUGGUGUGUCUUCAUGGUAGCAUCCACCCCUCUAAGGGUGACCGGCUUCCCUCCAAGAAAGUGAACAUCAUGAAUUCAUGAUACAUCUUUGUCCGUGGAGUUUUGGUUAUCCCUAAAUCUAACUCUCUACUUGUGGUUGUUUGUCUUUUGUCUUUCGCCUUUACUCAUAUCAUAUUGUGGUUGCUUGCAUCAUCUUGCAAUUGUUAGGAUCACAUUCAUAUUUCACAUAAUUUUCUAAGUUGCUAAAUAAUAAUUAAAUUUAUAACUUUACCUAUUCAUUUUUCUAGGUCCAUCUCGAUCUUUUGACUGACAAGGUGUCGUUGGAAAGAGAAGAAUUCUACAAAAGAAAACUCUUGUGCGUUGAUUUCAGCAGUCUUAAAAUAAUGUGUCGGUUCAGUCUAUCGAAGAUGCUCUUAUUAAAAAUCUGUCGGACCGGUUAAAACCGCAAUCUGGUAAAAAAAUCGAAAUUUACAUGUAAUGACAGAGAGAGAAGGAAGGCAAAAAAGAAAAGAAAAAAAGGUUGCGCUCGUAAAAAGGUUGGUUGUAGGAGCAGCAGCAGUGUGCAGUUCCCUGUCGCGACUGUCGUACGAAUAUCACGUGGAAACGCGGAUACAUAUGGCUGUGGUUCCUCCUCCUCCACCCCGCGGUCCCCUCUGCCGCUGCACCGCUCCGCCCCGCCCGCCUGCUACUGCUACUGCUACCUGCACCCGCACCCACACCCAUCCCUCCUCCUCCACUUGACCCGGUGCCGGUGGUACCACCUCCUCCCAAGGCAGCAGCGGAUACAUACGAAGCGGGAGCUAUAGCCCGCGCGCGCAGGCCUGUUCGGCCAUGGCGUACCAGUACCACCACCACCAGGACCACGCGCUGGGGAUGGACGCGGCGGCGGCGGCGGCGGCGGGGGGGAACCCUGGCGGCGGCGGCUUCGCGCCGGGCUUAAGCGCGGGCGGCGCGUGGGAGGGGGAGAAGGCGGCCGUCGAGGCGCACCCGCUGUACGAGCGGCUGCUGGNNNNNN
rnacentral:lncRNA from 1 species